rnacentral:rRNA from 1 species
GACGAACGCUGGCGGCGUGCCUAAUACAUGCAAGUCGAACGCUUCUUUCCUCCCGAGUGCUUGCACUCAAUUGGAAAGAGGAGUGGCGGACGGGUGGGUAACACGUGGGUAACCUACCCAUCAGAGGGGGAUAACACUUGGAAACAGGUGCUAAUACCGCAUAACAGUUUAUGCCGCAUGGCAUAAGAGUGAAAGGCGCUUUCGGGUGUCGCUGAUGGAUGGACCCGCGGUGCAUUAGCUAGUUGGUGAGGUAACGGCUCACCAAGGCCACGAUGCAUAGGCGACCCGGGAGGGGGGUUGGCCCACACUGGAACUGAGACCGGCCCCAGCCUCAUAGGGGGGGCAGGAGGGGGAAAUCUGCGGAAAGGGAGGAAAGUUUGCCCGAGCAACGCCGGGGGGGUGAAGAAGGUUUUCGGAUCGAAAAACUCUUUUGUUAGAAAAAAAAAAGGACGUUAGAAACUGAACGUCCCCGGAGGGUAUUAAACCAGAAAGCCCCGGCAAACUACGU